rnacentral:rRNA from 1 species
CAAAAACAUGGCUUCUCGAUUUAGGUUUUAUGGGAGGUCAGGCCUGCCCGGUGGAUUAGUCUAAACGGUCGCAGCUUUUACUGUGCUAAGGUAGCGUAAUAGGUCGUCCUUUAAUUGGGGAAAAGAAUGAAUGGUCAGAUGGUGGAAAGUCUUUAUUAGGGGCAAGAUUCGAAGUUCACUUCCAGUGUGCAAAGGCCUGGUUGUUUUUAUUAGACGAGAAGACCCUGUUGAGCUUAAUAAUGUAGGGUCAUUGCGGUCUUAUCAUACAUUUUUUCGGGGCCGAAUGGAAGGGAAACAUAUUCCUUCUUGCUAAGUUUAGAUCCAGCACGGUUGAAAAGAAGAAGAUAGUUACCACAGGGAUAACAGCGCAAUCCUUUCGUCAAGAUCAUAUUUGAGAAUGGGUUUGCGACCUCGAUGUUGAAUCAAAAUUUCUACUAGGUGUAGCAGCUUAGUAAGUGAGACUGUUCGUCUUUUAAAAUUUUACGUGAUC